UCCCAGACUCCUACGGGCGGCCGCAGUGGGUCCUCUUGCACAAUGUUUUCCACCCUGAUUCCUCUACGCCGCGUGCUUGAAGAAGUCCUUCGUUAUGUAACUCUCUCUCAGCAGGGCCGCCAAUGACGGUCCCUGAGUAAGACGCCCCGGCUAACUCCGUGCCAGCAGCCGCGGUCCUAAGUAGGGGGCCCGCGUUAUCCGGAUUUACGGGGGGGAAAGGGAGCGUAGACGGCAGUGCAAGUCUGGAGUGAAAGGCGGGGGCUCAACCCCAGGACUGCGCGGGAAACUGUACGGCUGGAGGGCAGGAGAGGUAAGGGGAAUUCCUAGGGGAGCGGUGAAAUGCGGAGAUAUUAGGAGGAACACCAGUGGAGAAGGAGGCUUACGGGACGGUAACUGACGGGGAGGCGCGAAAGCGGGGGGAGCAAACAGGAGUAGAUACCCCGGUAU
rnacentral:rRNA from 1 species